UUGAAAUAAGUAUUUGUAAAAACCACGUUAUUUGUGCCUUUCUGAAUACCAUAUUUGGGUUCGGCUCCACCCCUAACCUACAGUAACCCUUGUUUUUUCGUGUGUCCACAAGUUUGGUUGCUUAUGUGCUUAUUCCUUGUAGCUUUUAUCAACUGAUGCGUAACGUUAGCUAAAUCGUAUUUCUUUGUGUUACAUUAUCCACAUAAUGUGGAUAACGUUACUCUUGGCAGUAACAUUUAGCUAGACUAGCUGAACCUGCACUUGUUACAAUUCCGUUACUGAGGUGUUUUGUGUGUCAUUGUGUAUCCACAUUGUUCUUACCUAGCCUGUGUGUGUCUUUAGCUGCCGAUUUUUUAAACCAUAUUUCUACGCAUUGCUUUCAGGUCAUGACGUUUUCUGUAGUUUUGUCCCCGGAGGAGGAUGACUGUUUGGCAGUGGUUCCACGUCUGUGGCUCAAAGGGGGACUUUCAUACUGGCCACCACACAGCAUCACCAGCAGGAAGUCCUUCAGCCACGACAAGUUUGACAGAACUUGUUCACCACCUGAAGACACCUGGGAGGCUGUCCCUUAUAAGUUCAUCAAGCAUGCAGGUGAAUUUGAAAACGUAAUAACAGUUUGAAACUUGGAAUUAAAUAAUGUUUUGCAGGGUAAAUGCUUACAAAACCUUAACCUUUCCUGGACACGUGAGAGACCGGACGUGUGUAUUGCCAGAGGAGGGAAAAUUGUUCCAGCGUUGGCCCCUACCACCCCAAGGACGCACAUCUACACCACAACACCCUGUGGAUUGCAGCCCUGGAGGAUAGAGCAAGCACAGUACUCCAAGGCAUCAGAGAGGUACUCCAUGCUACCAUGUGGAGGACUGCUACAUAAGUAACUGUGGGUUCAUUCACUUAACCCAGAUGCUUAACUUGUUAUUAAAGCAUGUUGCAUACAAUUUUAUUUGUCAAUUUAAUUUUAAAGGCAAGAAGGUGCACGUGAAGGUAAGAAUGAACAUUUUGGUGGACACUGUGAUUUGAGUUCUGAUUGUAAAAUAACCAGAUAUUUAGGACUGAAUAAUUAACUGUCUGUCUUUAAUAUCAGAACAUUUGGAGAAGAUCAAGCGGCUGACUGAAGAGAAGGUCGAGCUGAGGGCACAGCUGGCUGUACAAUCAGAUAAAAACAAGACUAUAGUCACGCUAGCAUCUUGUCUUCAUGAAACUGCAUUUGUCUGAACGUGUGCCCUUUACUAAAAUGCAAUACUGUACAGCCUUUCUGAAAUUACAUGUAUAUGGCAGUUUUGUUUAUUUCACUAUUAAGCUAUUGACAUUUCAUUGUGCUUUUUAGCUUCUGAUAAACGUCAGAAGUAAAAACAAGACUAUAGUUGCGCUAACAUGAAACAUUUCAUUUGUUUUGAAUGUCAAGCAAUUCUCAAAAUCAUGUCAGACCAUUUAAGUAUCACAUUUAUUUCAAUCAAUCAAAUUUAUUUAUAAAGCCCUUUUCACAACAGCAGUUGUGAAAGUGCUUUUACAGAGACACCCGGCCUUAAAACCCAAGGAGCUAACAACAGUAGUGUUGAAUUUCAGUGGCUAGGAAAAACUCCCUAAGAAGGCCGAAUUUUAGGAAGAAACCUAGAGAGGACCCAGGCUCAGAGGGGUGACCAGUCCUCUUCUGGCUGUGCCGGGUGAGAUAUUAAGAGUCCAAUUGGAGAUAAUUAAUACAUUUAUCUGGGCUAAAUCUAGAGUCUAUUUAAAAUUAGACUAGGUCAGAAGUAUGACCAGAUGGACAAAGACAGGGACAGCAACAGGCCCCCCAAACCAGGUACUCCACAGGUGUGGACCAGGACCUCAUGUCCUCCUAAAGUUUAAAAUGGGAGAAGACUGGGAAAAUUCAGAAAAUGCAUUCAUCAUAUCAACAACGAUUUAUAGUGGAGAAGGAGAACUUUGUGGGCACGGAGAACUGACCCAAUCCCCCAGCACAAUAGUAGAGCAGCGUAAGACCUAGGAACUGAGACGGGGGGGUCCGGCGACACUGGCCCUACCCGGGGGAGGCCCCAGACAGGGCCCAACAGACAGGAAAUCAAUCCACCCACAUUGCCAGGCAUCAACUAAAAGGACACCCACCAACCGCGACCACCCUGAAUGAGGGCCGAGUAUUGCCAGCAGAGUACAGCCCAAUUGCACAAGUACAAUAUCUGAGUACUGUAUUACAGGAGCCAUAAGGAAGAAUCCUUCCAACCGGGAUGCCACUGACAAGGCUGUCCAGAACCAGGUCCCCAGGUACCAGAAAGGGGCAGCUGACCGUACAGGUGGGAGAAGAUGUUGCGGCGGUACAAGGUACCUGCCAUGAGUAUGAAUGACAUCUCCAGCACAACCAAUAUUCCUGCUAAUCUACAGUACUCUUUUUACUUUUUUUUAACUGCUGCUAUGUACAUUGUUAUGUAUAUGAUCGCAUUAACCUCUUAAUAUAUUUAAAGCUGUGUGUGAAUGUUCUUAAUUCUGUCUGUAGUUUUAGUGUUAUGCCACCGUUCAUAAGCUUAUUGCACUGAUGUGUCUAUAAUAUUCAAUAACUAUCGAUUGCUGCUAGGUCGUAUGUUUAUUACUGCCAUUCUAGCCCUUGUUUAUUUUGUAUUGUAUAAUGUUUAUUUUGUACUUUAUCACAUUCAAAUACUGUAGUUUUACUAUAUCUGUUGCUGGACAUGUUUUC
ensembl:lncRNA